AAUAUUCUAUUGGCUAAUUAACCAAUUUUUCAAAAAAAUAACUUCAUACUAACCGGAUCCCUUAUAUACCAAACUUUAUAUUUUUUAAUCAUUUCUUCCAACACCCUUAUUCUUACUUGUUGAAUGAAUUGGGGAGUCAAAUUGUCCAAAUGGCUGGAUGAAAAAAAUAUAUUAGUUGGUUAGGUAAACCAAACAAUUUUCAAGUAGCUGCAGGUAAGAAUUCCUCCUACUCCAUAUCAGAACGUACAUGACUAAAUCUGUAAUUUACAGUUGGGNNN
rnacentral:lncRNA from 1 species